GACAGAGGGUGCAAACGUUGCUCGGAAUUACUGGGCGUAAAGCGCGUGUAGGUGGAUUGGUGUGUCAGAUGUGAAAGCCCUGGGCUCAACCCAGGAACUGCACCUGAAACUACCAGUCUUGAGUGGUGGAGAGGGAAGUGGAAUUCCUGGUGUAGAGGUGAAAUGCGCAGAUAUCAGGAGGAACACCGGUGGCGAAGGCGGGUCUCUGGGCCGAUAUUGACGCUGAGGAGCGAAAGCGUGGGGAGCGAACAGG
rnacentral:rRNA from 1 species